UACGUAGGGGGCGAGCGUUGUCCGGAUUUAUUGGGCGUAAAGAGCUCGUAGGCGGUUUGGCAAGUCGGGUGUGAAAACUCCGGGCUCAACUCGGAGACGCCACUCGAUACUGCUAUGACUCGAGUCCGGUAGGGGAGUGCGGAAUUCCUGGUGUAGCGGUGAAAUGCGCAGAUAUCGGGAAGAACACCCGUGGCGAAGGCGGCUCUCUGGGACGGUACUGACGCUGAGACGCGAAAGCGUGGGGAGCGAACAGG
rnacentral:rRNA from 1 species